GAUGAACGCUGGCGGCGUGCCUAAUACAUGCAAGUCGAGCGAGCAGACGAGGAGCUUGCUCCUCUGACGUUAGCGGCGGACGGGUGAGUAACACGUGGAUAACCUACCCAUAAGACUGGGAUAACUUCGGGAAACCGGAGCUAAUACCGGAUAAUAUAUUGAACCGCAUGGUUCAAUAGUGAAAGACGGUUUUGCUGUCACUUAUAGAUGGAUCCGCGCCGCAUUAGCUAGUUGGUAAGGUAACGGCUUACCAAGGCAACGAUGCGUAGCCGACCUGAGAGGGUGAUCGGCCACACUGGAACUGAGACACGGUCCAGACUCCUACGGGAGGCAGCAGUAGGGAAUCUUCCGCAAUGGGCGAAAGCCUGACGGAGCAACGCCGCGUGAGUGAUGAAGGUCUUCGGAUCGUAAAACUCUGUUAUUAGGGAAGAACAAAUGUGUAAGUAACUAUGCACGUCUUGACGGUACCUAAUCAGAAAGCCACGGCUAACUACGUG
rnacentral:rRNA from 1 species